rnacentral:rRNA from 1 species
GACGAACGCUGGCGGCGUGCCUAAUACAUGCAAGUCGAACGCUGAAGAGAGGAGCUUGCUCUUCUUGGAUGAGUUGCGAACGGGUGAGUAACGCGUAGGUAACCUGCCUUGUAGCGGGGGAUAACUAUAGGAAACGAUAGCUAAUACCGCAUAACAAUGGAUGACACAUGUCAUUUAUUUGAAAGGGGCAAUUGCUCCACUACAAGAUGGACCUGCGUUGUAUUAGCUAGUAGGUGAGGUAAUGGCUCACCUAGGCGACGAUACAUAGCCGACCUGAGAGGGUGAUCGGCCACACUGGGACUGAGACACGGCCCAGACUCCUACGGGAGGCAGCAGUAGGGAAUCUUCGGCAAUGGGGGCAACCCUGACCGAGCAACGCCGCGGGAGUGAAGAAGGUUGUCGGAUCGUAAAGCUCUGUUGUAAGUCAAGAAAGGGUGUGAGAGUGGAAAGUUCACACUGUGACGGUAGCUUAACAGAAAGGGACGGCUAACUACGUG